rnacentral:lncRNA from 1 species
CAGUAGGACCUGCUAUUUAUCUAUUUUAUAUAUAGUUGUUCAGGCCAAGUGUUUAAACAAUGACAUUGCAAAGGCUGCGCCCAAAGGAAGAUAACAGGACAAGAGGAGCCAGAGAGAGAGGAGCGGCUGUCCCAGGCCAGGAAGAAGAGAAAUAUCUCCUUCCAUGAAUCCCUUUAUAGGAGCAAUCAUUGGAAAAGGGAG